UGCAUGAAUGAAAGGGCCCUUGUCCUCUGU
rnacentral:piRNA from 1 species